rnacentral:lncRNA from 1 species
GGGGUGGGGGAGCCCGGGGUGGGGUGGCGGGGGGGUAGGGUAGGAGCCCCACUGCCGCUCGUUUCCCCGGGACUUUGGACAAGCCUCUGAUUUACAGCUGAGUACCUCGGCUUGAGAUCUCUUGAGUCAAGGACUAGCCCUGUCUUCCUUCCCGCCCCGAGCGUCUUCAUUUGCUGCAGGGGCUCCACGUGCCCGGCCUGGGUGCUUCCGUUCGAACGGCGGUGUCAUUUGCUUAGAGACAGGACUCGGACUCACAUCCACCCCACACGGAGGCUGCACCUCUAGCCGGCAUCCUUCGGUCUCGAAGCUGGCGGCCACCUGGAGACCGGAAGUGACAGACCAGAGAGACAGCUGGACCCCCCCCACAGACUCCCUGCGCCUCCUGGAGUCCUCUGAUGCCCUCAGCCCUCCUCGCCCUCCGGUGGCUGCCCACUGCUCCAAGGACAAAGCCCAGACCGAGGCCUCGCACGCCCUCCCUGCCUCCUGGAAGGGUCUGCUGACCCCGCCUGCCUCUUUUCCGUCCUGCCGCAGCAGCCUUCUUCUCUGUUGCUCUAGCACGCAGUCCAUCCCUGCCUCAGGGCGUCUGCCCUUGCUAAUCCCUCAUCUGGAAAGUUCUUCGCUCAAAUGGCCAGUAGCUGGUUCUGCUCUGCCUCGCCUUUGCCGAGAGGGUCCCUCCCCGGAGGCACAGCCCCUGAUUGCCUGCUCCUCCAGCUGACAGCUUCUGGAAAAGCAGAUCAACAGUGAACAUUUGCAAAGCUGAGGUACAUCAAAGGGUGCGCUUUUAAAAGGGAAGGCUCACCGAGGCAAUGUGAAUCAUGGCCCCCAAGAUGCGGUUGUGUGGAUUCAGAACUUGCUCAUCGGGGUUUCUCUGAAAACUCACACAGGCCACUGCAUUCACAGAGAGCCCCGAGUGGCUGAGCAGCCUGGCCCUGCCGUCGCGCGGACCUGAGUGUGAGAACUGGCACAGCCCCAUGCUAGCUGUGUGGUACCUGCUGGUCACUCAGCUGCUCUGUGCCUGGGUGUCCUCCUCCGAAGGUGGACAUAGCAACUGGAGCUGCUUGAUGGACAUGGGGCCUCCCAGGUGGCUCAGUGGGUAAAGAACCCACCUGUGGUGCGGGAGACGCAGGAGAUGCGGGUUCGAUCCCUGGGUCUGGAAGAUCCCCUGGAGGAGGGCACAGCAACC